GCGGUUGUUGUUUGCAUCACCGCUUCUGAGGCAGAUAACUGGAGAUUUUAUCUUCACGGUUGACUGUCUGCCAUUCGCCACCUUUGCAGUGAACUGGACUGGUGGUUUCAGAGAUUUCCAUGCCAAGCAUAUAUAAUCCUAUAUAUAUAUAUAUAUUGGUGCGUGUGUGUGUGUAUAACAUGGUGCAGAACAUGGCAAAUACGUUUAACACUACUGAUUGAUGUGUCUAUAUAUAUAUCUAUGUGUAAAUAUACAACAUGAUGGGGAACAUGCGUAGUUGCUACUACAGUGAUACUACAGUGAUAGUUGUUUUUGUACCUGAUUUUGUCUUUAUUUGUGACUUCUCUACUGCAUUUGUUCUCACUCAAUUUAUAUACAUACAUACAUACACACAUACAGAGAAAAAGAAAGAAAGAAAGAAAAAAAC
rnacentral:lncRNA from 1 species